AUUGAACGCUGGCGGCAGGCCUAACACAUGCAAGUCGAACGAGUGGCGGACGGGUGAGUAAUGUCUUGUAAACUUCCUGUUGGGGGGGGAUCACUACUGGAAACGGUAGCUAAUACCGCAUACCAUCCGUGUUGCCCAGAUGGGAUUAGCUUGUUGGUGGGGUAACGGCUCACCAAGGCGACGAUCCCUAGCGGGUCUGAGAGGAUGACCAGCCACACUGGAACGGAGACACGGUCCAGACUCCUACGGGAGGCAGCAGUGGGGAAUAUUGCACAAUGGGGGCAAGCCUGAUGCAGCAAUGCCGCGUGUAUGAAGAAGGCCUUCGGGUUGUAAAGUACUUUUAGCGGGGAGGCGUUACCCGAAGAAGAAGCAACGGCUAACUCCGUGCCAGCAGCCGCGGUAAUUC
rnacentral:rRNA from 1 species